GGGGGCGAUCGGUUUCGACGGCGGUGAUGACGCAAGGGAAGCGGGUAGAGGAUGCAAAGUCAUCUCUUUAACGAUCUUUGCAAAAAAAUAACUGCCAACAAGCAGAACACUGAUUUCGCUCUCGCUGCCUAAGCGAGACUCGAAUCCGUCAGCCUAACGAUGCUUUCGCGUUAGUUUCUGGCGUCGUUUUAGAAAGCCACUGGUUUGCGUCCGGUUCGCCGGGGCGCAAGCGACUUUAGGCGAAUAGGUUCGUCAGCAACUCGUCUGCGUGAGUGCUGGAGCCGAAAACUACGGGUAGCAGACUGCACCCGGAGAAGCCUUGGGUUUUACAUCGUCGGACGGGAGUUCGAUUCUCCCCGCCUCCACCA
rnacentral:tmRNA from 1 species